UUAGGACGAACGCUGGCGGCGUGCCUAAUACAUGCAAGUCGAACGGUCUUUCUAUGGAAGCUUGCUUCCACUGAGAAGAUAGUGGCGAACGGGUGAGUAACACGUGGGUAACCUGCCCAUAAGAGGGGGGAUAACAUCCGGAAACGGGUGCUAAUACCGCAUAGUUUUCUUGAUCGCAUGAUCGGGAAAGGAAAGACGGCCUUUGUGCUGUCGCUUAUGGAUGGACCCGCGGCGUAUUAGUUAGUUGGUGAGGUAACGGCUCACCAAGACGAUGAUACGUAGCCGACCUGAGAGGGUGAUCGGCCACAUUGGGACUGAGACACGGCCCAAACUCCUACGGGAGGCAGCAGUAGGGAAUCUUCCGCAAUGGACGAAAGUCUGACGGAGCAACGCCGCGUGAGUGAAGAAAGGUUUUCGGAUCGUAAAACUCUGUUGUCAGAGAAGAACAAGUUGGAGAGUAACUGCUCCAGCCUUGACGGUAUCUGACCAGAAAGCCACGGCUAACUACGUGCCAGCAGCCGC
rnacentral:rRNA from 1 species